UACCAGCACCCCGAGUGGUCGGGACGAUUAUUGGGCCUAAAGCAUCCGUAGCCGGUCCUACAAGUCUUCCGUUAAAUCCACCUGCUUAACAGAUGGGCUGCGGAAGAUACUAUAGGGCUAGGAGGCGGGAGAGGCAAGCGGUACUCAGUGGGUAGGGGUAAAAUCCUCUGAUCCAUUGAAGACCACCAGUGGCGAAGGCGGCUUGCCAGAACGUGCUCGGCGGUGAGGGAUGAAAGCUGGGGGAGCAAACCGG
rnacentral:rRNA from 1 species